AUUGAACGCUGGCGGCAGGCCUAACACAUGCAAGUCGAACGAGUGGCGGACGGGUGAGUAAUGCUUGGGAAUCUGGCUUAUGGAGGGGGAUAACUACGGGAAACUGUAGCUAAUCCCGCUUACCAUAGGAUGAGCCCAAGUGGGAUUAGGUAGUUGGUGGGGUAAAGGCUCACCAAGCCGACGAGGGCUAGCUGGUCUGAGAGGAUGACCAGCCACACUGGGACUGAGACACGGCCCAGACUCCUACGGGAGGCAGCAGUGGGGAAUAUUGCGCAAUGGGGGCAACCUGACGCAGCAAGGCCGCGUGAAUGAAGAAGGCCUUCGGGUUGUAAAGUUCUGUCGGUAGCGAGGCGUUAACUACAGAAGAAGCACCGGCUAACUCCGUGCCAGCAGCCGCGGUAAUUC
rnacentral:rRNA from 1 species